GAGCUCUUCCAACAUUGCUGAUAUUAAGACCUUCUUGGGAGGCCUGCCCUGCUCUGUCCAGAAAAAGCCUCAAUUUUGCACUCAUUGAUGACAGCUAAGGG